UCGUAGGAUGAACGCUAGCGGCAGGCCUAAUACAUGCAAGUCGGACGGGAUUGGAGAGCUUGCUUUUCAUGAGAGUGGCGCACGGGUGCGUAACACGUAUGUAACCUACCUUCACCAGGGGGAUAGCCUCUCGAAAGAGAGAUUAAGACCGCAUAACAUUAUAGGAUAGCAUUAUUUUAUAAUCAAAUAUUUAUAGGGUGAAGAUGGGCAUGCGGAACAUUAGCUAGUUGGUAAGGUAACGGCUUACCAAGGCUACGAUGUUUAGGGGAUCUGAGAGGAUGACCCCCCACACUGGUACUGAGACACGGACCAGACUCCUACGGGAGGCAGCAGUAAGGAAUAUUGGUCAAUGGGCGGAAGCCUGAACCAGCCAUGCCGCGUGCAGGAAGACGGCCCUACGGGUUGUAAACUGCUUUUAUACGGGAAUAAACCUAUCUACGUGUAGAUAGCUGAAUGUACUGUAAGAAUAAGGAUCGGCUAACUCCGUGCCAGCAGCCGCGGUAAUACGGAGGAUCCAAGCGUUAUCCGGAUUUAUUGGGUUUAAAGGGUGCGUAGGUGGCCUGUUAAGUCAGGGGUGAAAGACGGUAGCUCAACUAUCGCAGUGCCUUUGAUACUGACGGGCUUGAAUGAACUAGAGGUAGGCGGAAUGUGACAAGUAGCGGUGAAAUGCAUAGAUAUGUCACAGAACACCAAUUGCGAAGGCAGCUUACUAUGGUUUUAUUGACACUGAGGCACGAAAGCGUGGGGAUCAAACAGGAUUAGAUACCCUGGUAGUCCACGCCCUAAACGAUGAAUACUCGAUGUUGGCGAUAUACGGUCAGCGUCUAAGCGAAAGCGUUAAGUAUCCACCUG
rnacentral:rRNA from 1 species